rnacentral:lncRNA from 1 species
ACGUUCGUUCUCCCCGUUCAGCUCCUGGGUGAUUUGCUGCAGGUCGGCCAGCUCCUGUAAAGUGGCCUGGAGCUCCUCAGCAGUGCUGUGUUGGUUCUCCUCCAUCUGGUGAAUGCGCUCGGUCAGACAGGCCACGGACACUUCGCUGGCGUUCCCGCUGCUACCUCUCCGAGAGCGCUCCCUGCUGGGCGCGCAUUCCGACUCCGACGACGAGGACGCCCCGGAGGGGGCGUCCAGCGCGUCGUCGCUGGAGGUGACGGCCUGGUAGACCUCGCUAGAUUCGCUGUCAAGAUUGUCUGCCGAACCUCCGUGCUGGUGCCCUGCGAGCAGGUCCUCUAAGGAACCGGGGGCGGAUCCCUCCACUGAAGAGGUUAAGCUCCUCUCUGAUGGCCUGGUUUUGCUCCUGUAACAGAAUAAGUGUGGACUCCACGUCGGCGGCCGUGAUGGCCGACACGUGGGGCUUCUCCUCCUCCUCCUCCUCCUCCUCCUCCUCGGGACCUUCCUGCAGCUCCUUUCCUCCCAAACCAAGCUGGACCCUCAUGUCUCUCAGCUCGCUGCAUUUGCUCAUGCGGCUCUCAGACUCUACCAGCACCUGGCUGCGUGAGCGCUUCCCCGAGGCUGCGUCCCCCACCACCGUACCUGCCGCAGACUGCUUCUUAUUGGCCGAGGCUCUGGAUGUUCGCAGGCGGUCGCGUGUUAAAUUUGUCUCCUUGGUAACCGAAGAUGUCAAACGCUUGGAUGUAGUACCUAAUAAAAGUACACAGAAAGUCACGCCGCACUUCCAAGAGAGACCAGAACUGAGUAAAAAGGAAAAAGCUGUACCUGAUGUUGUCUUUGGUUUGUCUAGGGUGCUAGCAGUGGUCCCAACAGACGCUGUUCUCUUGGUCUUGGCGACAGCGUUAGAUGAUGUGGGGUUCCCUCCGGCCAUAGCUGCUAAAAGGUCAUCGCUGCUUUUUACCUGGAGGCAGAAAUGUUGACAGUAGCCAUCACGCUCUCCAUAAAAUCGGAUACAUUUCCACUAAAAUGGCGUCAGGAAGCGCAGCCUUACCUUAGAAAGAGGUGCUGCUGUGCUGCUCUUGGAUACGGGCUUCCCAGUGCCUGUGGUACCGGCGACCUCUGGCUUCCCUCGCUCUCCGCUCGCCCUACUCACCGCUGGCCGCACCGACUUCUUCAUGCUAAGCCCUCUGAUGCCGGUUCAUCUACAGCUCGGUCUGGACGUAGAGGAGGGAAGCAAAAAGGUGAAGAACGUCAAAACGCACAGCGAAAGCUGCAAUUUUUCACAGAGGAAAAAAAUGAUUUCCGCCAACAGAAGAGAAAGAAACCGUUUUCAUCACAGCGAACGCCAGAAAACGUUUGUCAGCUCCUGUCGUCUGAUAAACAGACGCUCAAACAGCAAAAUAGCUGCAGCUCCAACAGCAGAAUGGUAGCUAGCAAUAAGUGGUUCAGACCUGAUGACUUUAAUCCUGGUAUAUUCACAUUCAGGCGUACCCAGGAGGACCACCCAGGAGAGGAAGUUAGGACCUGUUCCUCCACUAGAUGGCCCUCCUGUUUGUGAUAUGGAAUCAGCUGCAACAACAAUCACACAAAUAAGCUUCUGGGUGGGUGGUUCAGGAGGCUGUCGUGUGUUUAUCCGAGGGGAAUGAACCGAGCAAAAAACCACGGUGCCGAUCCAAAAAAGGCAAGAACCCAUCGCAUCGGACAUCAAAGUCAAAUACUUUUCAGCAAAAAGAAGAGUCUGUUAGUCUGUUGCCGAGCAACCGACAAUGGAUUCCAUUGCUACCUGCCAAGAAAUCAUAUUAGGCCACGAAAGUUGGAACCGCCAACUCAAACGGGAUCCACCUCCUGGGCACGAAGUCUUUAUUUACCCCAAAAGGUUUCGUAUAAAACACCUUGAAGUGUUUCAGCUGGCAAAGAAAGACGCAACUGUUGUAAAGGCCGCAAACACAUAAAGAACGCACGUCGGAAAGACGGGAGGUUCUAUUCAGCGUAGCGGAGUGAUGUCACGAGCGCACAGCUGGAGAGGAGCUGCAAGUAUUUUGCCACAGAUCUGGAAGUCUGUGUUCUGAAGGUGCUGAAGAGGAAAACAGGAGCUAAAGUUAUUUAUUUCUUGGAGCAAAUCCAACCCAAAUUAAUGUCCCAGCCAAUAAUCUGCUGUUUUCUUGAGGGUUUGUUGAUCGAUUCGUUUCGUGGCAGGAGGUCAAAUUCAGAAAAAUAAAAUAAAUUAAUCAGGAAUCUUAGCUACACAAAUACAAAUCUGAUCGUGUGACCACCAAAAACUGGUCCAGUGUGGAGACUAGUUCAUCAUCAGGGUGUUUUGGUUCUGGACGAAACACGUCACGCGUUCAUUAACCACCUCCGACAAGAAAAACACAACCACCUGCAUCACGUGUAGGAAGAUAAUCUUUUCCAGUCAUUCAGACGCUGCAGCUCUGUGAUCCAGAUGUGCAGCGCAUUCUUUUCACAGAUCCGUGUGGCGUUUCACUAAAGAAUGCACAGAAUAACUCUCUGAACAUGCAAAACGCACCAUAGCUGUAUUUUUGGGCUGUCGUUGAGCACGAACAUGUCUGCUAAUACAGUGGGACCUCUACUUAUGAAAUUAAUUGGUUCCGGAAGUUGUUUCGUAACCUGAAAAUUACGUAAGUAGAGGCGCGUUUUCCAUGUAAAUGCCCUAAUCCGUUCCAAGCCCCCAAAAAUUCGGACAUCAUUUUUUUAAAAAUCAUAAAAAUGCAUCAAAACAUGUAACAAAUACAUGUUACACUUAGGUUACCGCACAAUAAAUGUAGGAAUUCAGUGCAGGAACAAAAUGACUUUAUUACAGGCUAAUCUUACAUUAGCCGUCACUACUAGCAACGAACGCUAACACUUGUGGUAACACCGCCAUCUAAUGGACAAACAUACGAACACCCACAAUAAAUGAAAGUUAAACGAAGGCGACGCUGGGAUGCACACAAACUGUACAUAUUGACGUCCCUCCUAGCAAAUGCAGCUCGACACGUGCACACGCCAUGUUUGCGUACGCGAAACUCCGCGAGCGGCGAGUAGCAGCGGUAGCGUAUUUUUGCCUUUCGUAUCCUGAAAUUUCAAGAGGAAAUAUUUUCCCGUUGAGACGUUUCGUAACCUGAAAAUUCCGCAUGUAGAGACGUUCGUAAGUAGAGGUCCCACGGUACUGCAUACGGUGGCUAAAUCAGGCGGUCGUGAUCGUGGUUCGACGCUCUCUGGCCUGCACGUACGACCUCCUCAUAACACAUGUGGAAGGGUGUUGUCAGUUCCAACGUGUGAGCUGAACAACUCAACAAUGUGAAUAGUUGAAUGUGUGUCAAAGCAGAUGUGUGAAAAAGAGCCGCACGCUCCAGUUCAGCCCUUUUCUUUGGGUCUGAACGGGCAUGAGGGUGCUGGCGGGGCCCCAAAAGACCAGCAAACCGCAGGUUUGUCCUCCCCAAUGAAAAGCUUCUGUGGGUUUAAUCAUCCCUGGGAUAAACUAGAGUGAGCACGUCUACCAAAACUGUGUGUUUUGUUUUUUGGGGGGGUUAAAAGUCUGAUCAACCGUGGAAAAACAAGACCAUGAAUAACUUUGUCAUUGGUGACUCAAUGUUGCUCAGCUGACCACUUACAACAUCUUUCUGUUUUAAGAGCUUAAAUCUCUCACAGUCUCAAAUAGUAUCCAGGGGACCAUCUGACCGCAUUCAUCUAGUGAGGAUGGACACUGUCGGGGGGACAAUAUAACAUGGCACCAUAAAAUAUACUAAUCUUACCUCAUAGAUGUAAAAGGAAAAGAAUUCAGGGUGCUUUAGAGUAAGCAACAAGCUAACCCAACGCUUGGUUCAAAUUAAAUAGAACUUUGUGGUUUUAGUGGUGAUGAAGGUGAGUCUCAUUUAAGAAGAACCCAAAAGGAACAGUGGUCUGUGUGUGGUUUUCCCUGUACAGACAACUGAUUAAAGCACAUAUCACAGAUGGGACAAAAGCAAGACAGUGGAGAGAAUGAGCUGGGGGUGGGGCGCUGGACCAGAAACUCAUUAGGACUCUUUCCCUGCUCCCCCUUCUGGAUUCAUGCUUUAACCACGGGGGAGCCACUUCCGAAGCAAAACACCAGCUUCCUGCAGAGGCGUCUCCAUUAGAACAGAGAGCCGUAGAGCCUGAAGGGGAGACUGUGUGUACAAAGACAAACAGGCUCCGGUCCAGCACCAAACAGAGAGGACACUGUCAAACAGGACGUCUUUUACUUCCAUGCUUCGUGAUCAAGUUUGGAAUACAAAAACAUUUUCUGAUACAACUAUUCAAAAUCACAAGUCGACUACAAAGUGUAGACACAUUUCAAACUCGGUGACUAAACUGUGUCAACCUAUUCGGUUUUAUUCUUUCACAUCAGUGAAUGUCCCCAUGGUUUCUUUGGGAAGCAUUUAUGAUUCCUUCUUUACCAAGAUGAGGAUGGCAGAGCCAAGUUGAUGGUUUUCAGAAAGAUGAUUUCUAAAAUGGUACAAAGUAUGUAACACCGACACGUCCCGCCGUGGCUGAUGACUUCUCUUUGGCCAGUGAAUAACUAUUGUUCAUGGCUAAACCUUUUUGUUGUUGUUGAUCUGAGCUAAACCCACAUCAGCAACAUUAGCAGAAAAUGCUAACAUGAAGUCUAAAAGCCGUCAUACACCAACAGCUUUUCCAAACCACACCGUUUGGCAAAAUGGAGCUACCCGACACUCUUAGCGAGCAGUCGGCUUUAAAAUCUUGUUUGAGUAUAACUAACGACUUCAAAAACAGCGAGCUCGGCUAGCUAGUUAGCAAAGUGAGGCACGCAGGGAAUGCGAGUAAUUUCAUUUCCGGUUUGGUCACGCACUUUCAAAACAAAGCAAACAUGAACACAACCUCACACCGAAAUCAAAUAUCUAACAUACGAGAGGCUACAUUUCACCAGGGUAAAGUCCUGGCAAUAAAAAUGUCUGCUAUAAGUCAUGCUGAGUAGUGUGUGGUCCUAUUACAAGUUUACAAAAAUGUACAUUUCUUCCCUAUAGACUCGACCCUAAACCAGCCAAAAGAGUUCUGCAGUUAAAACGACUUUUUAUUCCUGAUAAACCAGAAUCUAGUAGUUGCAUACACACGCACGCACUUAUUGACAGCGCUGGUAAAGCGUUGCAAAAGCUUAUUUUGAAAUAACUGAUGGCUGUCCAUGUGAAGGUUUCUGCCUUGACAACUUACCUAAAAGCGAUCUAAAACCUGAAUCAUCUACAAACCCAAUGAAAGACGCGAGUCUGGCAAAUUAAAACAACUUUGGUUGUUGAUCCCGCUGCUUUCACGGGCGUCUAGUUUCCCCUUAAGCUGUCAAAAAGAGAAAUGGCAGCUAAAGGUGCUAGCGCCGCGGCUAAUGCGCCUGCUAACAAUGUUAGCAUAGCCGGCAUAAAGGCAGCGCCGUGGCAACGAGCUGAUAAAUCCUCCAUACCUGAUGUUUCCACGCUUCUCUCGGUUGGGCUGCUGAUAAAUGGCCGAUGGUGGCUCAUUGGGGUUCCACGGGAGCCCGCUAAUCCUUCACCUCAGACAGCGGCGGGCAGCAUCGCUAUCGGAUAUCAGCCCCUCUUCUGGCAGCAGCAGCCGGCCGGACGAUCCUCUGCCCCCUCCUCUGGUUGCAUCAUCUCAGCAUCCCCCUCUGCGGGCAGGAGGGGACACUCAACUGCCUGCAGGGGCAUCUCCAGGUCCCACCGGGGCAUUUAUUACCUGCACAUGUUGGUGCUGAACCCGAGCGGCUGCAGCCGGCUGAUAAUGUGGGUGAACAACACCCUCAAAAAAACUAAAAAAAUAGAAAACUGCAUAAAAAGCAUAAAACUCGAUUACACGUAAUGCAAC